rnacentral:rRNA from 1 species
GACGAACCGUGCGAACGUUAUUCGGAAUCACUGGGCUUAAAGCGCGUGUAGGCGGUACGGCACGUCGGUCGCUGAAAUCCCCCGGCUUAACCGGGGAACGGGCGUCGAUACGACCGUCCUGGAGGGGCGUAGGGGGACCUGGAACUUCCGGUGGAGCGGUGAAAUGCGUUGAGAUCGGAAGGAACGCCCGUGGCGAAAGCGAGGUCCUGGACGCCUACUGACGCUGAGACGCGAAAGCCAGGGGAGCGAACGGG